CGGCGACUAUCACGCCGCACUCCAACACCCAGCACGCCGCCACCUCAGCGCCCAACGCGGCCGCUACCUGCAACCACCCCCACCUCCACCCCGUAUCGAUCUGCCGCUUCCUCGAUCUACCUCGCCGCCGCUUCCUCGAUAUGCCUUGCCGCCGUUUGGAUCGUUGCGGCGACGUCUUCGUCGGCCUUCAGCUUCAGCACCUACAUCCUGAAGGAGCACGAUCUCGUCGCUGGUAUGGAUCUGAACGCCCACCGCUUCCCUGAUCUGACUGCUAUGAGUUCUCUGAGGUGCAUGCUAGGUGAAACACCACUAUACCGAUGUAGGGUCGGAGACAGGGAGGGGCUAUCAGGGUUCAGACCCUUGCCAAUGGCUCGCCCCCCUCAACGAUUCGUAGCAGACAGUUUGUACUGUAUAUGCCUAAUGGCCGCAGCUAAUUGCAUAAUUAGCCCAUACGUACACAAAUAAUUAAACCAUUAGUGAUGUAGAAAAGCCCCUUAAACCAUGUACGGUUGUGAGACUAUAAUUUUGCGAUGGGCCAGUGCCUAAUCCAUCAAUCAGGUCGAUCUAUUGAUGUGUACCUACCAUACAUUGUAUCCCUAUAUGAACGAUGAGAGUAGAUUUUUUAUUUUGUAAAGUAAGACCUUAAACUGGUUGAUUAAUGUUUCAUAUAAAAUAGUAAAGUAGUCUACUAAUUAUGUGUCCUUUUAUAUAUAGUAGUCAAAGAUGAAACGAAAGACAUGAACAACUAAUGUGGUAAAUUAUUUUUCAAACCAAUUGCUUAAAACUUCGAGCUGCAACAUUCUUGGGGAGAAUUGUUAUUUUUUUAGUUCUAGAAAAUAAUUUUAUUCUUUAUCAUCGACACUAUCAUAACACUUAAUAUACUGUAAUAUUCCGUCUUUUACGUCAGCAAUAGUGUUUCGCCGCCCUCAUGUUCAAAUCUUGGCUCAACCGAUGCAAGCUUUUUGGAGUUCCCUUGAUUGAAGGAUUGCUUUUGUUAAUCUCAAACUCAGACGGGCUUUCGUUUUCCCUUCUGUUUAGGGAAGCAGUCAACAUCAUCAGGACUUCUACUUGUAAGAGUCGCUAGCUUCUCCGAAGAUUUUGACAUCUCACCCAUCUUUAAAUUAUUUGGUAUAUUUGCGUUGGAAUCAAUUUUCGGUGUCCCCGAUGUAGUGAUGAUUUUAUAUCACCCUGAAUAGUUGGUGGAAUUGUAGUUACACAUACACCUGAUGUAGCAAUAUCAUGGCGAACAUCCACACUAAUGUUGUUUGUUGGCACACUGUGGCCACCUUGGCUGCUGCUUCUUGAACGACUUAUUUGGAUGGCACAUGAGGCAACAUGCUGCUGCUCUCCUGUCACCUAGUGCUUAACAGAAUCUUAUCCGUCACUUGAAUACUGCUAACUUUGCAUAAUCUGUAUAUUUUUCAACUUAAACCUGUUCUGAAUCCAUAUGUCGACAGUGUUAUAUCUGAGUGUGUGUGUGGCCGGACCCAUGGUCUUGUACCUCCUCUCUCUAUUUUAGUUAUGAUAAGCUGAUAGUGCAUUGAUAUGCUACUGUGUACUUUUCUGCCCUCUCCAUUCACAUGUUUCUUUUCGUAGGUUUCAUCGGUUCUGGGACCCAAACUGCUGAGGGGACUUCCACAACUUGUAUUACUUGAUUUCCCUGUCUGAGACUACAAUCUUGUCCUAGGAUGGCGAUGGACAUGUUGACCAUAUACCUGCACUAUGAAGGUGCAAAUCAGGAAGCCAAAAUUUUACAAAUAUCCAUGAUGAGGCGUGAUGUCUCGUAUUAUUACUGAAUCUUGAUGAUCGAGGAAGUUGGCUUUCAGGCAAUUGACUUUCUGUAAUCUAUGCGAAAAAAACCCGUCUAGGUGAGGGAAACGAGGGAUCUUACGGGUGAAUCUUUUUCAAGACUGAACCAACAGGGGACUGGAACUGAACACCCACACACAGGUUGCUAAAAAAAGGCGUACUUCUUCCAUCAAGGUAAAGAUCCGCCAGGGGGCACGGUUUACUGCACCCAAACUAUCAUGCCUGCUUGAAAAAUGGAUUUUGUUACAAAUUUUGCUCAAUCUGCUAUAUGCAAGUAAAGGAUAAAUUUAUCCAAGCAUUAGCAAGAGAGGUGACCUUGGGCUUAGACUUCGAUGUCGGGUCCAGUUUAUUUAGUUUUUUGGGGCACCUAUACUGGGCUAACAUUUAGAGAGCUCAUAUUGUUCAUGCAAAUUAUAUUAUCAUUGUCGUCGAAUGCUAAUAUUGAUCAUGAUAUGGGCUGCUUCCAUAGUAGUAUUUGGAGUAUGGAUUCAAGAACUAAGGCCGGUGGUAUUGAGUUAGGUGCUGAAUUUGCCCUUGUCCGUAGAGAUCAACCUAUUCUUGAUAAUCAGGAUUUGGUAAGGGAAGUUUCUGAUUGCAAGACAAUUGGUGAGGCUUUCUCUUCAGCAUACUUAAUUGCCUGGCCUUCAACUUUUGAAAGUUAAAAUAUUCUCUUCCACAUUCGGAAAUCAUAUUUCCACAUUCUGAAAUCAUAUUUGUGUACAUUUAAUCACAUAUAUCUAAGGUGCAAUUUUUCCUUUACAGAUUCAAGAGAAGUAAUUGAGUUGCAGCUGAAUUCUUGGAUCAAGAAGCAAAUAAAAUUUGAAGAUUUUAGCUACCAAUAGUCGUAGUUUACAUACAUAGAAUGAAAUAUGUAAUAUCAUCCACAAGAUCUUUUUCUUUCCUCUAACUGAUGCAAAUGCUAUGGUGUAAUAUUCUCCAUAGUUGUGUU